UACGUAGGGGGCUAGCGUUGUCCGGAAUUACUGGGCGUAAAGGGCGCGUAGGCGCCUUCUAAGUCGAACGUGAAAUCCCCGGGCUCAACCCGGGAACUGCGUCCGAUACUGGAAGGCUUGAAUCCGGGAGAGGGAUGCGGAAUUCCAGGUGUAGCGGUGAAAUGCGUAGAUAUCUGGAGGAACACCGGUGGCGAAGGCGGCAUCCUGGACCGGCAUUGACGCUGGAGGCGCGAAAGCCAGGGGAGCAAACGGG
rnacentral:rRNA from 1 species